UCGGGAAUUUUGGGCAAUGGGGGAAACCCUGACCCAGCAACGCCGCGUGAAGGAUGAAGUAUUUCGGUAUGUAAACUUCGAAAGAAUAGGAAGAAUAAAUGACGGUACUAUUUAUAAGGUCCGGCUAACUACGUGCCAGCAGCCGCGGUAAUACGUAGGGACCAAGCGUUGUUCGGAUUUACUGGGCGUAAAGCGCGUGUAGGCGGCUAAUUAUGUCAGGUGUGAAAGCCCUCGGCCUAACCGAGGAAGUGCGCCUGAAACUGAUUAGCUUGAGUACGAGAGAGGAGGACGGAAUUCCCAGUGUAGAGGUGAAAUUCGUAGAUAUUGGGAGGAACACCGGUGGCGAAAGCGGUUCUCUGGAUCGAUACUGACGCUAAGACGCGAAAGCGUGGGGAGCAAACAGGAUUAGAUACCCCAGUAGUCCCUGAGCGGGCUGGCAAGGCGCAU
rnacentral:rRNA from 1 species